rnacentral:sRNA from 2 species
AUGUACCACUCGUACACUCCGGUUCUGAGCGCGCCGUCCGCGCCACCUGACAGCUGCUCGCUACGUUUUGUUAGCC